CUUCACAACACCACACCACUCCCUUACUCUCUCCCUCUCCUCUCGGCCUACCAUAGUGCCGACACCACCACUACCUUACAUCCAUCAUCCACCCAUUCCAUAUGCUCUCAAGGGUGUAAGAAGGUUACUAAAGAAGCUUGGUGCUUGUGGAUUGUCAAGGACCUCCAUCAAUUGCUUUUAUCCACUCCAUAUUCAUCUUGUUUCUUCCCUAGCUUAGAGCUAGUAGUAGUCGUGUACGUCGGAGGAAACUUUGAGUUACAGGUGGAUUCGAAGAACGCAAAACCGUGAGUUCAUGCAGGGGCGGAUCUACGUGUAGGGAACUAAUAAGUGGAUCUGGCGGGCGUUGGAAGUUUUUAUGCUGCGUUUGAAAUAAAGAUGUCAUCCAUGGUCUUUGGGUUUGGUCGGUGUGUUUUAUUCCUGGACGAGACACGUCUCCCAACCCUUGGUGUUAUUUAAUAUCUUUCAAUGAGUCCUUAAUGAACUCAUAAACAUUUUGGUAUGAUUGUAAAACUUGAAUUUGAAGUAUACGUUUUUAAAUAAGGCAAAUUGGAUUUAAAUAAUCCUAACUCACUGUU